rnacentral:sRNA from 1 species
CGAAGAAGAGGAAGAAGA